rnacentral:lncRNA from 1 species
GAGUUACUGGGGUCACAGGAAGGCACCACCGAGCCUCACUAAAAAUGAGAUUCUAGUUUACACUGUUUUCUGAGCUUCAUUCUUUUUUCUCAUUAAAAGAAAAUGCAGACAUGUCCCCAAGCCACCUGAGAAGCUCCAAUUGACCCUUCCAGGUGCCGGUAGAUGGAGGCUGCGCAGAAGGGAAGUCACUACUCCCUGUGUAGAGGCAGCGAAAGGGGCCUGAAGAAGGAGGAGAAGGAGAACACGAUCCAGAAAGGAACAGAGGAGCCCCAGAGCCGGAGCCCUCGGAGUCUGAGCCGGCGUCCAGCCCCCGGCUCUCAGCCUCAGGGUCUCCACACCCCGUGGCUUCAGAACAAGAAAGUGGCCCCGGCUGGGCUCAGCCACCUCGGUGGGUGUCAGUUGGUUGUCACUGAGGUCUGAGCUAAGGCAGGGGUGUCGGGCUGACGCUUUACGGCUAGCUGGGGCUUUCUGGACCUUGGACGACGAAGGCAGAGUUAGUGCCCUGCUCAGUGACCCAUUCUAAUACUGACCAGACAAGCCCCUCCUCGGUUGGUCUGUGUUUGUGCUGAUUCUGUUUCUCUGCACCCUCCCUCCCACCACUGUCCGCCGCUCAGAUGGGGUUUCUCUAAGCCGCUUGUGAUCCUGCAUAAAAUACGCCAGCUCUGUUUUCUGUGUGUGCAUUUUAAAAGGACGCAGUGGCAUUAUGGACCGUCCUGUCCUCUUUGUGCUUAUUUGUGUUCACCCCAGGAGCACGGGGCUCCUCAGCGUGGCUCACGGGGUGGUCCUUAGCGAUGC